CUGAAAGGAAGGACUAUGGAGCG
rnacentral:piRNA from 1 species